rnacentral:misc_RNA from 1 species
CCGAGUUUACAACUCCCAAACCCCUGUGAACAUACCUAUACGUUGCCUCGGCGGAUCAGCCCGCGCCCUGUAAAACGGGACGGCCCGCCGCAGGACCCAUAAACCCUGAAUUUUUAUUGUAACUUCUGAGUUUAAAAAACAAAUAAAUCA